CCUGUGUGAAGUUGGCCCCCCGUCUCAUUCAAAAUAUUUAAAUAACACUGCUGUUCGUUUGUGCUAGGUUUGUGCUGGUUUGUGCCGUAAAAAUUAUCGUUUGUGCUGGUAAGGAUUUUGAGUAAUUCAAAAUUGCUGCAUGUGACGUCACCCACCCCCCCGUUCACGCCCAAAUCUCAUCAAAAUAGUCCCAAUCGUUAGUGCUACGUUUGUGCUGGUUUGUGCCGUCAAAAGAAAUAGUUUUGCUAUUAUGUUUUCUUAGUUGUUCCCGUUUGAUUUUUCACACAUGACGUCACUCAGCCCCCCGUCCUCCUUCAAAUCGCGUCAAAAUGGUCUCUAUCGUUAGUGCUACGUUUGUGCUGGUUUGUGCAGUCAAAAGAAAUAUUUGUGCAACUAGUUUAAAAGGUAUUCCAGGUAGAUUUUUCUCACGUGACGUCACUCAGCCCCCCCUCCAUCUUCAAAUCGCGUCAAAAUUGUCUCUAUGUUUAGUGCUACGUUAGUGCUGGUUUGUGCUGUUAAAAUAAAUGUUUUUGAUACUUUACUUUUUAAGUAAUUAAUCCAACUUUAUUUUCCCUUCUUGUUAUGUAAACAGUCCACUUGUUAUGCAACCAUCACCCCUAGAACGCUCAAAUCGUGUCAAAAUGGUCUCUAUCGUUAGUGCUACGUUUGUGCUGGUUUGUGCAGUCAAAAGAAAUGUUUGUGCCCAUAGGCUUUAAAAGAUAUUCCAGUUUGAUUUUUCUCACGUGAUGUAACUCAGCCCCCCUGUGCAUCUUCAAAUCGCGUCAAAAUGGUCUCUAUCGUUUGUGCCAGGUUUGUGCUGUCUUGUAUUCUUGUUACUCGUUGCGUUCUCGUCAUUUCAGGUUGUGUUCAUUGUAUUUCUCCGUGCUACGUAUGUUCAUUGUUUAUUCGUGUUUCUGACCUCGGACUGAACCUGUGUGCCCUAUUUGGAUUAUGUUUGCUUACCUGUGUACCGUAUCCUGCCAGUAAACGUUUGUUCUUUAUUCAA